rnacentral:rRNA from 1 species
UACGGAGGGUGCGAGCGUUGUCCGGAAUCACUGGGCGUAAAGGGCGCGUAGGCGGCCUGAUAAGUAGGGGGUGAAAUCCUGCGGCUUAACCGCAGGGCUGCCUUCUAAACUGUCAGGCUGGAGCACAGUAGAGGCAGGUGGAAUUCCCGGUGUAGCGGUGGAAUGCGUAGAGAUCGGGAAGAACAUCAGUGGCGAAGGCGGCCUGCUGGGCUGUUGCUGACGCUGAGGCGCGGACAGCGUGGGGAGCAAACAGG